rnacentral:tRNA from 1 species
GGCUCCAUAGAGUAGUGGUUAGCACGUCUGCUUUACACGCAGAAGGUCCUGGGUUCGCACCCCAGGUGGAGCCA